rnacentral:rRNA from 1 species
GACAGAGGGUGCAAACGUUGCUCGGAAUUACUGGGCGUAAAGGGCUCGUAGGCGGCCAACUAAGUCAGACGUGAAAUCCCCAGGCUUAACCUGGGAACUGCGUCUGAUACUGGAUGGCUUGAAUUCGGGAGAGGGAUGCAGAAUUCCAGGUGUAGCGGUGAAAUGCGUAGAUAUCUGGAGGAAUACCGGUGGCGAAGGCGGCAUCCUGGACCGAGAUUGACGCUGAUGAGCGAAAGCUAGGGGAGCAAACGGG